rnacentral:rRNA from 1 species
AAUAGAUACCCAGGUAGUCCACGCCGUAAACGAUGCUAACUCGUUUUUGGGCCUUUGGGUUCAGAGACUAAGCGAAAGUGAUAAGUUAGCCACCUGGGGAGUACGUUCGCAAGAAUGAAACUCAAAGGAAUUGACGGGGGCCCGCACAAGCGGUGGAUUAUGUGGUUUAAUUCGAUGAUACGCGAGGAACCUUACCAAGGCUUAAAUGGGAAAUGACAGGCUUAGAAAUAGGCUUUUCUUCGGACAUUUUUCAAGGUGCUGCAUGGUUGUCGUCAGCUCGUGCCGUGAGGUGUUAGGUUAAGUCCUGCAACGAGCGCAACCCCUGUCACUAGUUGCCAUCAUUAAGUUGGGGACUCUAGUGAGACUGCCUACGCAAGUAGAGAGGAAGGUGGGGAUGGCGUCAAAUCAUCACGGCCCUUACGCCUUGGGCCACACACGUAAUACAAUGGCCAGUACAGAGGGCAGCUACACAGCGAUGUGAUGCAAAUCUCGAAAGCUGGUCUCAGUUCGGAUUGGAGUCUGCAACUCGACU